UACAGAGGUCCCAAGCGUUGUUCGGAUUCACUGGGCGUAAAGGGUGCGUAGGUGGUCAGGUAAGUUUGGUGUGAAAGCUCGGAGCUUAACUCCGAAAAGUCAUUGAAUACUAUCUGGCUGGAGGGUCGGAGGGGAGACUGGAAUUCUCGGUGUAGCAGUGAAAUGCGUAGAUAUCGAGAGGAACACCAGUGGCGAAGGCGAGUCUCUGGACGACACCUGACACUGAGGCACGAAAGCUAGGGGAGCAAACAGG
rnacentral:rRNA from 1 species